UACGUAAGGGGCAAGCGUUAUCCGGAUUUACUGGGUGUAAAGGGAGCGUAGACGGAGAGGCAAGUCUGAUGUGAAAGGCAUGGGCUCAACCUGUGGACUGCAUUGGAAACUGUUUUUCUAGAGUGCCGGAGAGGCAGGCGGAAUUCCUAGUGUAGCGGUGAAAUGCGUAGAUAUUAGGAGGAACACCAGUGGCGAAGGCGGCCUGCUGGACGGUAACUGACGUUGAGGCUCGAAAGCGUGGGGAGCAAACAGG
rnacentral:rRNA from 1 species